rnacentral:tRNA from 1 species
GGUCCCAUGGUCUAGUGAUCAGAACAUUGGAUUCUGAAUCCAGUAACCCGAGUUCAAAUCUCGGUGGGGACC